AGCAUUGUGAAUGAGUUCUUUCUCAAUUAAUAUUUGUGUUGUUAUUAGAAGCAAGAACUUGACAUAUGGAUAAGUAAUAUCGGUGAUGAAAAUAAACAACUCUUCGAAUGGCUAUAAGCUUGGAGGAAAGAAUACGGAAGGAGAAACAACUUCAUUUCUGUACGCUUUAAAUAUCCAAUCCAUCAGACUGUCUAUACAGCUCAGCAUUGUUGGUAUUGCUUGGGAAGAAAUGAGAUUUGCGAUGUGAAUAAUGAGACAUGAAAUGGAUCUACGAAAAGAUUGGCAUACAAAUAUAGCAGCACAUUCUAUGGUCAUAGAGGAAGACAAUAUGUUGCCUUAGUUAUAUAUAUUUUUUUAUUUGUUAUAUAUCUUAUACUCAGUAGCAGCAUGAACACUGAAUAUGAAAAAGCUAGACAUGAAACUUAUAAAAACUUGAAUUAAUGUUUGUUACAAUGGUGUCAAGCAUGUAUAUAUGUAAACCAAAAACAUAUUUGCUUUGCUAUAUGUAUAUAAAAUAAUUUUAUUGAAAGCACUUCUUUUCUAUUUCUAAGGCAGAUUUUCAAAUAGAAUUUAUUAAG